rnacentral:misc_RNA from 1 species
GAUGAAGAACGCAGCGAAAUGCGAUUAGUAGUGUGAAUUGCAGAAUUCAGUGAAUCAUCGAAUCUUUGAACGCACAUUGCGCCCCUUGGUAUUCCAUGGGGCAUGCCUGUUCGAGCGUCAUUUGUACCUUCAAGCCUUGCUUGGUGUUGGGUGUUUGUCUCGCCUCUGCGCGCAGACUCGCCUCAAAACAAUUGGCAGCCGGCGUAUUGAUUUCGGAGCGCAGUACAUCUCGCGCUUUGCACUCAGAACGACGACGUCCAAAAGUACAUUUUUACACUCUUGACCUCGGAUCAGGUAGGGAUACCCGCUGAACUUAAGCAUAUCAAUAAGCGGAGGA